rnacentral:rRNA from 1 species
AGCGAACGCUGGCGGCAGGCCUAACACAUGCAAGUCGAACGAAGCCUUCGGGCUUAGUGGCGGACGGGUGAGUAACACGUGGGAACGUACCUUUUGGUUCGGAACAACUCAGGGAAACUUGAGCUAAUACCGGAUGAGCCCUUAGGGGGAAAGAUUUAUGGCCGAAAGAGCGGCCCGCGUUAGAUUAGCUAGUUGGUGUGGUAAAGGCUCACCAAGGCAACGAUCUAUAGCUGGUCUGAGAGGAUCAUCAGCCACACUGGGACUGAGACACGGCCCAGACUCCUACGGGAGGCAGCAGUGGGGAAUCUUGCGCAAUGGGCGAAAGCCUGACGCAGCCAUGCCGCGUGAAUGAUGAAGGUCUUAGGAUUGUAAAAUUCUUUUACCAGGGACGAUAAUGACGGUACCUGGAGAAAAAGCCCCGGCUAACUUCGUGCCAGCCGCCGCAGUAAUAC